GCCGGGCGCGGUGGCGCGCGCCUGUAGUCCCAGCUACUCGGGAGGCUGAGGCAGGAGGAUCGCUUGAGCCCAGGAGUUCUGGGCUGUAGUGCGCUAUGCCGAUCGGGUGUCCGCACUAAGUUCGGCAUCAAUAUGGUGACCUCCCGGGAGCGGGGAGCCACCAGGUUGCCUAAGGAGGGGUGAACCGGCCCAGGUCGGAAACGGAGCAGGUCAAAACUCCCGUGCUGAUCAGUAGUGGGAUCGCGCCUGUGAAUAGCCACUGCACUCCAGCCUGGGCAACAUAGCGAGACCCCGCCUCUU
rnacentral:SRP_RNA from 1 species